ensembl:snRNA U6 U6 spliceosomal RNA
GUGCUUACUUCGGCAGCACAUAUACUAAAAUUGGAACAAUGUAGAGAAUAUUAGCAUGGCCCCUAGGAAGGAUGACAUGCAAAUUCGUGAAUCGUUCCAAAAAUAA